CCUGAACACAUAUUGAUCGUACAUAUUAAAGAUUAAUAUAUAUUUAGUAUCAUUUGUGUCUGAGGGGAAGUCUUGCACAUACACAUGAGACAGACCCACAAAAGUUAGAGCGUCAAAUACUACGAACAGCAUGCAAAAGAAAAGCUACAGAAAAUAUAUCCGAAAGACCAACUAAGAUCAUAUGUUCGGAGCUAUUCCAUCAUGAAGAGGAACAUCUACAGAAAAAUGACUUGAAGUUCAUAAGACAGUCUAUGUACAGAGAGAGAAGAUAACUGUUCC
rnacentral:lncRNA from 1 species